AUUGUUUCGUAAACUUUACUUUGAGUAAUCGAGUAGCUUCGGGAUACACUAGGAAUUUUCCCAUAUUCAUCAGAUCAGCUAUUCCCAGAGCCUUACCAUUAUAAAGGGAAUUUCUGCAAAUCCAACAGAUCAGCUUUUUCCAGAGUGUUCAUUCUCUCCAAAAAGUUUCUGCGUACGAAAGUGCAGCGGAGCACAUAGCUAGGGCCCAGGACAGUACUGCCACUACUGCUGCAAGGUCCAACCUAAAAGGAAUGUUAGGAAGAGAAGUGCGAGGUUCUACUAGUACUCCAGUGGUAUUCUCUCAACUUUAAUCCUUGUCUUUUGUUUAUUGCCCAACGUUGACAUUGCCAUUGCCACAUAUGCCGUCUUUAAAGAAGUUACACGUUUGGAGCUGCCCAAACAUGGCAUGGGCUUCAAUCUCCAAUCUCACUAGUCUUAACCCCCUUACAAUUACGAGGAUUGAAGGAUUGAGUUGUUUUCCAGAAGAGAUGCUACAAAAUCUUAAUCUUCUUGAAUCCCUAAAUAUUAGGGGUACAAGUGAUCUACGAGCCUUACCCAGAAGCUUGGCCAGCCUCACGGCAUUGAAGGAGUUGUCCAUCUGGGAAUGUCUUGUGCUCAAGUCUUUGCCAGAAGAAGGAUUGCGAGGCCUUGUUUCUUUGCAGGAACUCCUUUUGCACCAUUGCUAUAAUUUCGUGAGUCUCUCACUGGGAACUAAAGCCCUCAAAUCCCUGACUCAUCUACACGUCACGGGGUCACACGCGAUAGCUUUGCCAGAGGAAGUCAAACAUUUGCCUGCACUACAAAAACUGUUGCUGUGGUAUUUUCCCAAUCUAACUUUAUUGCCAGACUGGUUUGGAGACCACCUCACUUCUCUUCAACACUUGACACUACUCAAAUGUCCGAAGCUUGAAACACUUGCAUCCAGCAUUCAAAUGAUGACAACACUCCAAAAUUUGACUAUAGAUACGUGCGAUCUACUACUCCCACGGUGUGAAAUUGGAGGAGAGGAAUGGCACAAAAUUAAGCACAUCCCGAAUCUGAGAAUUUGGUAAUACAAUUACAUAUGGGUGGGU